CCCCUAGAUGUUCUGGGCCGCACGCGCGCUACACUGAACAGUUCAACAAGUCUUAACCUUGGCCGAUAGGUCUGGGUAAUCUUUGAACGCUGUUCGUGAUUGGGAUAGACCUUUGCAAUUAUGGGUCUUCAACGAGGAAUUCCUAGUAAACGCAAGUCAUCAGCUUGCAUUGAUUACGUCCCUGCCCUUUGUACACACCGCCCGUCGCACCUACCGAUUGAAUGGUCCGGUGAAAUCUCGGGACGGCGGCUUGGUCGCUUGCGUCCGACUGCUGCAACUUGAUUAAACCAUAUCAUUUAGAGGAAGGUGAAGUCGUAACA
rnacentral:rRNA from 1 species